GGGCCUUGGGCGUCGGCCUUAACCAUGCAAGUCGAGCGGUAGCAGGGAAGAAAGCUUGCUUUCUCCGCUGACGAGCGGCGGAGGGGUGAGUAAUGUCUGGGGAUCUGCCUGAUGGAGGGGGAUAACUACUGGAAACGGUAGCUAAUACCGCAUAACGUCGCAAGACCAAUGUGGGGGACCUUCGGGCCUCAUGCCAUCAGAUGACCCCAGAUGGGAUUAGCUAGUAGGUGGGGUAAUGGCUCACCUAGGCGACGAUCCCUAGCUGGUCUGAGAGGAUGACCAGCCACACUGGAACUGAGACACGGUCCAGACUCCUACGGGAGGCAGCAGUGGGGAAUAUUGCACAGUGGGCGCAAGCCUGAUGCACCCAUGCCGCGUGUAUAAAGAAGGCCUUCGGGUUGUAAAGUACUUUCAGUAGGGAGGAGGGUGUGAACGUUAAUAGCGUUCACAUUUGACGUUACCUACAGAAGAAGCACCGGCUAACUCCGUGCCAGCAGCCGCGGUAAUACGGAGGGUGCAAGCUUUAAUCGGAAUUACUGGGCGUAAAGCGCACGCAGGCGGUUUGUUAAGUUGGAUGUGAAAUCCCCGGGCUUAACCUGGGAACUGCAUCCAAGACUGGCAAGCUAGAGUCUCGUAGAGGGAGGUAGAAUUCCAGGUGUAGCGGUAAAAUGCGUAGAGAUCUGGAGGAAUACCGGUGGCGAGGGCGGCCUCCUGGACGAAGACUGACGCUCAUGUGCGAAAGCGUGGGGAGCAAACAGGAUUAGAUACCCGGGUAGUCCACGCUAUACACUAUGUCUAUGUGGAGGUUGUGCCCUUGAGGCGUGUCUCCCGACGCUAACGCGUUAUAUCCACCGCCUGGGAGAGUACGGCCGCAGUGAUAAAACUCAAAUGAUUGACGGGGGCCCGCACACGCGGUGGGAGCAUGUGGUUUUAAUUCUAUGCAACGCGAAGACCCUCACCUACUCUAGACCUCCAGCAAACUCCUGUAGAGAUACGGGGA
rnacentral:rRNA from 1 species